rnacentral:rRNA from 1 species
CGAAAGCCUGACGGAGCAACGCCGCGUGAGGGAUGAAGGCCUCUGGGCUGUAAACCUCUUUUCUCAAGGAAGAAGAUCUGACGGUACUUGAGGAAUAAGCCACGGCUAAUUCCGUGCCAGCAGCCGCGGUAAUACGGGAGUGGCAAGCGUUAUCCGGAAUUAUUGGGCGUAAAGCGUCCGCAGGCGGCCUUGUAAGUCUGCCGUUAAAGCGUGGAGCUCAACUCCAUUUCAGCGAUGGAAACUACAAGGCUAGAGUGUGGUAGGGACAGAGGGAAUUCCCGGUGUAGCGAUGAAAUGCGUAGAUAUCGGGAAGAACACCAGUGGCGAAGGCGCUCUGCUGGGCCAUAACUGACGCUCAUGGACGAAAGCCAGGGGAGCG